rnacentral:rRNA from 1 species
GUAGAGGAUGAUUUGGGGAAGCCGCCUGUCUAAGUUCCUUGGAACAGGACGUCAUAGAGGGUGAGAAUCCCGUAUGUGACAGGAAAUGGCACCCUAUGUAAAUCUCCUUCGACGAGUCGAGUUGUUUGGGAAUGCAGCUCUAAAUGGGAGGUAAAUUUCUUCUAAAGCUAAAUAUUGGCGAGAGACCGAUAGCGCACAAGUAGAGUGAUCGAAAGAUGAAAAGCACUUUGGAAAGAGAGUUAAAAAGCACGUGAAAUUGUUGAAAGGGAAGCGCUUGCAAUCAGACUUGUUUAAACUGUUCGGCCGGUCUUCUGACCGGUUUACUCAGUUUGGACAGGCCAGCAUCAGUUUCGGCGGCCGGAUAAAGGCUCUGGGAAUGUGGCCUCCACUUCGGUGGAGGUGUUAUAGCCCAGGGUGUAAUACGGCCAGCCGGGACUGAGGUCCGCGCUUCGGCUAGGAUGCUGGCGUAAUGGUUGUAAGCGACCCGUCUUGAAACACGGACCAAGGAGUCUAACAUCUAUGCGAGUGUUCGGGUGUCAAACCCCUGCGCGUAAUGAAAGUGAACGGAGGUGGGAACCCGCAAGGGUGCACCAUCGACCGAUCCUGAUGUCUUCGGAUGGAUUUGAGUAAGAGCAUAGCUGUUGGGACCCGAAAGAUGGUGAACUAUGCCUGAAUAGGGUGAAGCCAGAGGAAACUCUGGUGGAGGCUCGCAGCGGUUCUGACGUGCAAAUCGAUCGUCAAAUUUGGGUAUAGGGGCGAAAGACUAAUCGA